GCAUUCAUGCUGUAUAUUUAGAUCAUUAUGAUAAAAAGGCGGGUUAAAAUAAUUAAAAAAAUAUACAAAGAAUAGAUUAUAUGAGCCUUGUGAUAUAUAUGCAACAUCAAAGGGAGUAAAGUAAAAGCACACGAAAGUCUAUAGGACAGAUCGAGGUAUUUUAAAUAGCUAAAUAGUGCCCUCGAAUCCAAGGAAUUGAGUUUUCAUAUCCGGAACUCGAAAGGUAGUGCAAAUGACAGGUUUCAAAUCUGUAUAUGGUAUUUUGAUAUUUGUUGGAAAUUCAAAGUUCGUUGCCUUUGAUUCCGACAUGACUCGGAAUCCAAAGUAAUGUUAUUUUGCAUUUUUUUAAGAUAUGAGAUAUUCGAAAGACAAUGUUUUGUACAAGUGUGUUUUAGUAUUCCGUAAUUGUAAAUUCUGAAGGACAGACAGAGAGCCUGAAUAAAUUAUUGUCAAUUUAAUGCAAUGUUCAUCGAUGUGGUCGAGGGUCAAACCGAUGGCACAUGCUUCAACAGAGAAAAUAGAGGCACCAUCUAGUAAGCGGCUUGAAGAACAAUGAUGAAAGUUUGAAAAUAUCAAAUGUUGGUAAGAGGUUUUGUUUUUGAUUGAAUAUGUUUCGGUAUUAAGGAUUGAAAACAGGAUUAAAAGCAGGUAUUGGUUUGAUUAACACCCCCGGGGUGGGUAUACAGCCAACACUGUGGUAACCUGGCCUUUAGGUACCAACCAUUGGUUUGAUUAACACCCCCGGGGUGGGUAUACAGCCAACACUGUGGUAACCUGGUCUUAAGGUACCAACCUUUGGUUUGAUUAACAUCCCCGGGGUGGGGUAUACAGCCAACACUGUCAUUCACCCGACAGCACUACCGUCCUCAUUUACACAGACCACGGUUGAGUAAAGUUUCUUCCUCAAGUAUUCAAUAUAGUGCCCGUGUUAGGACUCGAACUAGAGACCCUUCGAUCCCUAGCCCCCAUCCUACAAGACCAUCAUGCCUGUUUUUUACACCCAGAGGUAACGAUUGUAUAUUGACACAUUAAAUGUUUUGCUAUUUUACUUGUCAGCCCAGUUACAUAUGGCAAAUUCAACUAUAACAGGAUCUAGCAAUGACUUAUAAAUCAUAUUUCAUUUCAUAAAUGUGUACAAUAUGUCAUCCAACCAAUAUAACGAUGGAAUCAGAUCCAGAAAAAAGUUGUUAAACUUAUAUAAAAUCUGUCUCCUUAGCAGAAAUUAAAGCGGAUAGCAGGAUCUUUAUUAGCAAAAAAAUAAAACUAAUAGAAAUAUCCAACAGCAUUAUUUGAUUAUUCGAAAAGGAGAGUGCAAGAAUAAAGCGAAAAAUGAAUAGGGAAGGGGAGAACAUUUGCCCGAGUCCAAACUAGUACAUGAUCUGUUACAGUUGAAACAUUACAAAAUAUGUUUGAUGCUCUGAAACUGCUGCUAGUUGAUAUAAACCAAGAACGUGACAUGGUUCGAGCGUAAACAGAAAUAAUUCACAAUGAUGAGAUUUGAAAUCAGAAAUUAUUAUAUCGGUGAAAAGGGUUAAGGAAAACGUUUAGAACUGAUAAUAAAGUUCUGUACACAAAUAAUAGGCCUUGUUCAAAAUAUCAGCAAUAGCAUUGGGUGGGUCAACUGGAGAAUAUAAAGAAGUAUCGGCAAACAGCUAUAUAAUUGAUAAAAACAAGAAAUAACAGUUGGCCUAAUAUGGAAUCUUGUGGCACGCCCGCAUUUACCAAGACGAAUACUUAUUGUUCAUGACAUCUCGCUGUAAACGAUCAGGUAUUCUGUAAACCAUGACAGAAAAUUUACCAGAUAUUCCAAAACUUCGUUGUUUAGUUAAAAGACCACGGUGCUAAACAUGGUCAAACGCCGUGCUGAUGUCGCAAAAUCUAGUCUUAUUUCUUUAUUCAGCUUUCACAGAUUUGUUAAAGUAUUUGGUCUUGUAUAUUGCAUAUAGAUUUAAAAAACAACCUUUGUUCUACUCGAUGACUUUACCAAUGAUAUCAAACCUAUAUUUAGGAAAAUAGAUUUCCAUUCUUUAGAACUAUGUCUAUAUAUACAUGUUUUAGUCACUGACUCUACCCGUGAUAUCACACCUAUAUUUAGAACACUAAUUACGGAUUUCCUUUGUCUUCCCACUUUCUCUUUAGCAUAUGUAUAUAUAGAGGGAGACCCGAUUUACCUUAUACAUUUCCCGGUAGUGUGCGUGUAAGAAAAUAUCAUUAAUAAAACAUAAUUUAUACUUCGCCAGGGACACACUCUUAAACAACAGCGAGAUACAAAUCUCCUAAGCACCCGACACACAUUACUCCUAAUCCGGUGUCGACUUUAAAAACGCAGGACGUACAGAUCAGUUGAAAGACAAGACAUGGCAGAUCAAACAACACGCCGAGUGAACGGACGUACAGAUCGGUUGAAUGACCAGACAAUGGCAGAUCAAACAACACGCCAAGUGAACGAAGAGAGACAGUAUUCCCGAACCGUAGUUGAUUUACACAACACUCUGGUGAAUAAGUUAAGCAAAGAAAUAGCACCAUCUUUGCCGGUGAAAUGGAACAGUCUGUUACAUUUAUUUGAUGAAGCUCCACUGGGUAAGGCGGAGCUGGCGAAUAUAAAGAGCGUGGGUGAUCUGGUCCAAGCGCUUUUGACAGAAAAGGACAUCAGUUAUGAAAAUUACGAGCCGUUCGCAGAGAAACUUGAACAGGUAAAUAAACUAAUGGCCGGAGUUGUACGGGACUACGCACGGAGGAUUAAGGAACAAAUUAACAGAGAUGGCGUAUCGCAACGAUAAGACAGGUAACCAGAUCAACAUGGAUCGUUUGACAUGAAAGAUAUACAUUCUAUAAGAAGAGGAAUUAUUGAUCAGAUAGUAGAAAUUCGUCUUUUGGAAUCGUUGAUGGAAUUCCCCAAGAGCAACUACGGACGGACGAAAUUAAAACAUUUGUUUUAUUAUGUGUUAUAGAUCUAUCUUUAACAAAAUAGAAAUAUUCGAUACGUUUUCAUUUCAUUCUAUGAUAUGUUAAAUAGAUGGCACGUUAAAGAGGAUUUGUUGGUGUCCUAUGUACUUUGAUAUUCAUCGUUUUAUCUUGUCGUUAUAUCCAAUGACGUACAAAUAUCUAUUGUGACAUGCUGGUCUACUAGUUUUAAGUGCAAAGUUCAAAUCUAUUUUAAUAUCAAUUCGUGGAAGCGUUACCUAAUAUAGGUCAAUUAUCAAGUUACAAACAUCCCUAUUCGAUCUUUAAAUGCGGGUGACAAUGAAGCUCCGAGGGACAAUACCAAGAGUUGAGUCACUGACAAGAACAACACUGCGGUGAGAUCAGCAUUAGUCGACACGUAUUAUACAUUAAGAGUUCAACAUAAACCUGUUAACUACGUUCCACCAAGAUUUUCCACUUACGGAGGAGUUUAUUAAGCUUUCACAGAUUUGUUAAAGUAUUUGGUCUUGCGUAUUGCAUAUAGAUUUAAAAAAAAACUUUGUUCUACUCGAUGACUUUACCAAUGAUAUCAAACCUAUAUUUAGGAUAAUAAAUUUCCAUUCUUUAUAACUAUGUCUGUAUAGUUAUAAAUAAUAUAUACUUGUUUUAGUCACUGACUCUACCCGUGAUAUCACACCUAUAUUUAGAACACUAAUUACGGAUUUCCUUUGUCUUCCCACUUUCUCUUUAGCAUAUGUAUAUAUAGAGGGAGACCUGAUUUACGUAAUACAUUUCCCGGUAAUGUGCGUGUAAGAAAAUAUCAUUAACAAAACAUAAUUUAUACUUCGCCAGGGACGCAAUCUUAAACAACAGCGAGAUACAAAUCUCCUAAGUACCCGACACACAUUACUCCUAAUCUGGUGUCGACUUUAUUUAAACGCAGGACGUACAGAUCGGUUGAAUGACAAGACGUGGCAGAUCAAACAACACGCCAAGUGAACGAAGAGAGACAGUAUUCCCGAACCGUAGUGGAUUUAAACAAUACUCUGGUGAAUACGAUAGCCAAAGAAAUAGCACCAUCUUUGCCGGUGGAAUGGAACAGACUGUUACAUUUAUUUGAUGGAGCUCCACUGGGUAGGGCGGAGCUGGCGAAUAUAAAGAGCGUGGGUGAUCUGGUCCAAGCGCUUUUGACAGCAAAGGACAUCAAUUAUGAAAAUUACGAGCCGUUCGCAAAGAAACUUGAACAGGUAAAUAAACUAAUGGCCGGAGUUGUACGGGACUACGCACGGAGGAUUAAGAAACAAAUUAACAGAGAGGAGGAAGAAUCGAUCCGAUAAAACAAGUGAUCAGAUGAACAUGGAUCGUUUGACACGAAGGAUAUACAUUCUAUAAGAAGACGGAUCAUAAAUCAGAUAACACAAAUUCGCUUGGAAUCGUAGAUGGAAUUCCUAAAGAGGAGGACGAAAUUAUUUUAGUUGAUUUUUUGUGUAUAGUAUCUAUAAUUUUUUUUUUAGAAAUAUUCGAUACGUUUUCAUUUCAUUCUAUGAUGUGUUAAAAUAAAGAUGGCACGUUAGAGGGGAUUUGUUUGUGUCAUAUGAAGUUUGAUAUCCAAUGACGUACAUACAUCUAUUGUGGCAUGCUGGUCUACUGAUAUAAAGUGUAAAGUUCAAAUCUAUUUUAAUAUCAAUUCUUGGAAGCGUUACCUAAUAUAGGUCAAUUUCUGGAAAUCCCCAACCGUUCUAAAUGCGAGUUGACAAUGAAGCAGUAUCGGCCAGUGUCUCCUACAAGACAAUAACAUUGGUAAUAUCUGUUUGAGUGAAACAGGUAGUACAUACACGGUAAUAUGAUGGUUUAAUUACCCGAAGAUAUCAUAUUUCCAGAGGUCUUGCCCAAAAAUAAACCUACGAGACUGGUUAUAUUAUCGUAAAUGUACAUCUAUGUAAAGGAGGCAGGUAAUACUUCAUCCUGACGGAGAAUUCAGAAAUUGACUAUAUUAUCCUUAAUGUACACCUGUGUUAGAGAGAUGGGAAAGACUUCGUCCUGAAGGAGAAUUCAGAAACUGGUUACUAUAUUAUCGUUAUUGUAUAUCUCCUUAAUGCAUGGAAAGACUGCACCUCACAUGAAUUUAGAGACUGGUUUGAUAUCGUUAUGAACAUACAAGUAUAGGCGUUUACGCACUAAAGGUAAAACAAGACUGAUUUUAUUGUAUAAAUUGACAUCUCUGUUAAAAAAGGAGAUGGAAAAUACACAUCAUGGAGAAGAAUUCAGAGACUGAUUUUUUAGGGUUAGUGCAAAAUUAAAAUGAAUGGAAAGACUGGUUAUUGUCAUUAUGCACUUAACGAAAUGAGGAAUUCGAUAAUUACAAAGAUGAAUAUAUUAACCAAACCUAUUGCCUGUAACUUUAACUAGAGAUGAAAUAUUAAAUUAGGAGAAAAUUGCCAAUCGUUUCAAUAUUUUUUUAACAUGUACCUGGAAAACUUACUCCAUUAAGUGAUGACAUUCAAAAUUUCCCCUAAAGUAGCUAUGUUCUUUUGAGGAGCACCACGUCAUCAAGUUAGAUGAACUCAGUUCGAAGCAUCUAAAGCAUCAUCUCCCACCUACGGAAAUCCAAAGUGGUUAAAGGAGGAGUGUCAAUUUAGGCCAUCAUGCGGCCUCUCGGUGUUAAGCAUAAUAUUUUGCAGGAAGAUACUUUAAGGUUAGAUGCGGUAUGAUGGUCAAAACUUCAGAUUUUUUUUUCUAGAUUUUUAAAUUUUAUUGACAUAUGGAAAAGUCAAUUGGAUUGAAUAGCAGGCAAAGCCUAUAUAAAUUCUCUCCAUAGGUCGAACACGUUUUACAAAUAAAUAUUCAUUAUAUGAUAAUUAUGAUAUGUGAAAUGAAAUUUUAAAAAACAUAUACACAAAUGAUAACAAAAACUAUGUAAGGGGAGGUAAUUCAUUUGAAUGAAAUUAUACACAUCCACUCACACAAAGUACAAUAGCUACAAACAUGGUCAAUGUUUAGUAUAUACAUGUAGUUGAAAUUAAUAAGUAGUAAAUAUAAUCAAUCAUGCACAUACAAAUUACAACAGUUGAGUGGCUAGACCAAAAGUUCAUGUUCAAUUACUGCACAGGUCAUCACCAUCCAAACUGUUUAAUGCCUAAUAUAAUAAGGAUAUGGUCUAUAAUUGAAAUGCAUGCACAUGAUUUUAACAAAUUAAUUACAAUAUAAAUAACAAACAAGAUCAUUGAAAGUAAAUUUAUUAAUACUUAACCAAUUUAUUUCGCAUGCUCAACUGGCCUCACAUAUCAUGGAUUAAAAACUUCAAAAUAAAAUAGAUGUCAUAAUAAUCAUAAUAAAUAAAUUAAUUAAUUAGCAUGGUCAUUGUGAAGUGACUCACUAUAAGAUAUUUUUUUUAAUCUUUUAGACUUCCCUAUACAAUAAUGAAUGUUAUUUAGAAUUUGCCUAUUUAUGAAACCAUUACAGUUAGGACAUCCAUAUAGGAAAAUGUCAAUGCUAAUAUGGUUAUGAUCAUGUGUAUAAUUAUUAAGAACUUGAAAAAGAUUAUAACGGAGAUCAUUGUAAAAGCGACGUUCUAAGAAAAAGUGAGAAACUGUCUCAAGUGCGUGUGAGCGGUUACAAGCAGGACUGUCUGUGAGGUGGUCAUGAUGUUAAUCAAAUGUCAUAAUAGCUAUUAGUUCUGCAUAGUGGCGGGUUAAAUUGCCUUGUGUGACGGAGAGGAUAGUGAUUUUGAUUGGGAAUGUUAGUAAAAGGAGUGAGUACAUCUUGUAAAUAAGUUGGUGCGUGUCCAUGCAUUAGUUUGUACAUCGGGAUGUAUUUGUGUUUUUCUCGUCUGGCUGCCAGAGAUUUCCAAUCAAGUUCGGUAUACAGUUUAUGAUGUGAGGUUCCUGAUCUGAGUCCUGUAAUAAUUAUUGCUGCUUCUAGCUGUAUGGAUUCCAAAAGUUCAGAUAAUUGUUGGGUGCAAUUAUCCCAGACAAUGUCUGCAUAUUCCAAAAUUGGUCUUAUAAAUGCUGUAUAGAUUAAUGUAACUAAUGUUUUUCUGUUGACUUUAGUUUUUAUGUUUUUGUGUCGGGCUCUUCUAAAAUAAACCUUUAUUAUAUCCAGUAACUAUACCCGUGAUAUCACACCUAUAUUUAGAACUAUAGAUUGCCAUUUCUUGGUAUGUAUCUAUAAAUGUAUUUUGGGAAAUCCAAAAAUAAAACCUGUAAUGGAUGAUACGGUUACCCAUGACCCCUUUGUCCUACUGGGUGACUGUAUCCGUGACGUCACACCUAUAUUUAGAACUAUAGAUUACCAUUACUUGUUAUAUAUCUAUAAACAUAUUUUGGGAAAUCCAAAAAUAAAACCUGUAAUGGAUGAUACGGUUACCCAUGACCCCUUUGUCCUACUGGGUGACUGUACCCGUGACGUCACACCUAUAUUUAGAACACUAUAUUCGGAUUUCCAUUGAUCUACUUUCAUUUUAAUAUUUGUUUAUUUUAUAAACAGAUAACUGAUUUACAUAACACAUUUCCCGUUAAUGUGCAGUAGUAACACAUCGUUUACAUUACAUAAUUUACACGACUCCUGUAGUCAUCAGGGACUUACUGCCUUGGUCAACAUCGAGAUACGAAUCUCCUACCCGAUACACGUACUCCGAGCGGGCUACGACUUAGAUAACGUAGGUACAAUCCAGCUACUGACAUGGAGGACAUGAAAGCCUUGGAGAAUGAAAUGGUAUUGCAUCUCGAUAAACAUAUUCACCCACGACUGAAGGUCAGGUGGGCAGAGUUUGACAUAAGAUUGAGUGCCCACCUCGGUGCGGUCUGUAGAGGAGGUCUAACAGAUAUAUACAAGGCAUUCGACGCUUUGAAGGAUGAAUUGGUCAUAAAGACAGGGAGGUAUGGUGAGUUACGGGGUAUGCUGGAGCCUAUAGAUGUCGAGAUGGGAAAAAUCAUCGACGCUUACACUGCUAAAAUGCUGGGAGACGGCGCAACCCACACGAAAGAUUCGCGUGAUGACAAGGACAUUAAAGACAGCAAUGUCACUGAACGAAUGAAAAAGUUAGAAAAUGAAAUGGCGGUCGAGUUGAGUCAUCACCUCCAUCCAGGAUUGAAAAAUAAUUGGAAUAUUUUUGACUGUUUGCUAUCAACCUACCUAGACGUCGUCUGCAGAAAAAGAAUGGAGACUAUUUUUAUGGUAAUAGAAGAGCUAACAAAUCAGAAGAUCAUCAAGUUAGGAAAGUACGAUGUUCUAAAAGAACUCGUUAAACCUAUUCACGUUGACAUGGAGAAAAUAAUUGACGAAUAUACUGCAAAAAUAAGAGCUCUGAUCGAGGGGGAACCAGUCGCCAGUGAAUAACACUAUAACAAAAGUAAGCCAGGAGUCAAGUGACCGUCUGUAAUAGAACGUAACCCAGGAGUCAAGUGACAGAAUCUGUAAUAGAAGUAACGUAAACCAAGAGUCAAGUGACAGAGUCUGUAAUAGAAGUAACGUAAACCAGGAGUCAAGUGACAGUGUCUGUAAUAGAACGUAAACCAGGAGUCAAGUGACAGUCUGUAAUAGAACGUAACGUAAACCAGGAGUCAAGUGACAGAGUCUGUAAUAGAACGUAAACCAGGAGUCAAUAGAACGUAAACCAGGAGUCAAGUGACAGAGUCUGUAAUAGAAGUAACGUAAACCAGGAGUCAAGUGACAGUGUCUGUAAUAGAAGUAACGUAAACCAGGAGUCAAGUGACAGAGUCUGUAAUAGAACGUAAACCAGGAGUCAAGUGACAGUGUCUGUAAUAGAAGUAACGUAAACCAGGAGUCAAGUGACAGUGUCUGUAAUAGAAGUAACGUAAACCAGGAGUCAAGUGACAGAGUCUGUAAUAGAACGUAAACCAGGAGUCAAGUGACAGAGUCUGUAAUAGAACGUAAACCAGGAGUCAAUAGAACGUAAACCAGGAGUCAAGUGACAGUGUCUGUAAUAGAAGUAACGUAAACCAGGAGUCAAGUGACAGUGUCUGUAAUAGAAGUAACGUAAACCAGGAGUCAAGUGACAGAGUCUGUAAUAGAACGUAAACCAGGAGUCAAGUGACAGAGUCUGUAAUAGAACGUAAACCAGGAGUCAAUAGAACGUAAACCAGGAGUCAAGUGACAGUGUCUGUAAUAGAAGUAACGUAAACCAGGAGUCAAGUGACAGUGUCUGUAAUAGAAGUAACGUAAACCAGGAUUCAAGUGACAGAGUCUGUAAUAGAACGUAAACCAGGAGUCAAGUGACAGUGUCUGUAAUAGAAGUAACGUAAACCAGGAGUCAAGUGACAGAGUCUGUAAUAGAACGUAAACCAGGAGUCAAUAGUAACGUAAACCAGGAGUCAAGUGACAGUCUGUAAUAGAAGUAACGUAAACCAGGAGUCAAGUGACAGAGUCUGUAAUAGAACGUAACCCAGGAGUCAAGUGACAGAGUCUGUAAUAGAACGUAAACCAGGAGUCAAUAGAACGUAAACCAGGAGUCAAGUGACAGAGUCUGUAAUAGAACGUAACCCAGGAGUCAAGUGACAGAGUCUGUAAUAGAACGUAAACCAGGAGUCAAGUGACAGAGUCUGUAAUAGAACGUAAACCAGGAGUCAAGUGACAGAGUCUGUAAUAGAACGUAAACCAGGAGUCAAGUGACAGUCUGUACGAGGAUUGUGCUUUCUUUGACUAUCAGUUUUGAUUUUCAAUGUAAUUUGAUAUAUUGUAGAGGUUGCUGAAGAUCAAGCAACAUGCCAGACUAUUUGAUGAUUCGUAAGACAACUUUGCUUGAUGGCCAAAUUGUUACUACACGAUGAAUGAAAGACAAACAACGAUCUUAAUAUCAUUCUUAAAAAAUGUUUAUUUCUCUUUGAUAUGAAACAUGAAAAUGAACCAAGUAUGCAACUUCUCAAAACAACAUUCAAACAAACUCUAAAAUAAUCGUACUCAUUCAAAAUCAUCAGAACCCUGACAAUCACUCGAUGGCUGGCAAGACAUCACAAAUCCAUGGUAACAUAAAUAUAUAUUUAUUUAGUCAUUGCAAUGUAUCUUACAUAAUUACAUGUACAAGCAUACCAAACUUCAAAUAAAGGUAUUAGGUACAGGGCCAGUAUCCCACAACACUCAUUUCCGGUAAACACAUGUUUUGAUACCAUAUCUCUGGUAAACACACGUUUUGAUACCAUAUCUCUGGUAAACACACGUUUUGAUACCAUAUCUCUGGUAAACACACGUUUUGAUACCAUAACAGUUUAACCCAUAAUACUGCAUAACAACUCUGCUAUGUGGCUACUUUCUUGGAAAAAAUAGAAAAAAAAAUAUUAAAAUUUUCCAAAUUAUCAC